CCCGCGGUACGCACUUGUUCCAUGGAACUGCCGAGGCUUUCUGCCCGCUCUGCUGAAAGGUACCUCACACUGAAAUUCACCGUAUACAGAUGUCUGUAGGUCCUACUUUUGCCUGUGGAUUCCAGGAAGAAAAGCCUGCCUUUGUUCCACCUUACAUGAAGGCUCAGCACUGCCCCAUGACCCCAGCCAGGUUGAGAAAUCUGGAGCCUUGAGGAAAUGAGAUGGCAACAUAUCUUGUUCUCUCCACACCCACACCCUCCUCUUUCCCUCCCUCAGUGCACAAUGUGAAUUGUUGCAAAGCAUUCUGAACAAGAAAAUAAAGUAGCUGAUGCUUACCAGG